AUGUGAAGGUGGGUUUUAUCAUGGCAGUUAUACAACUCCGUUUAUGCUGACAUCAUUUAUUCGAGUCGUAAAUAAGAAAAGUCCUACAAAGACACAAUAGCAAUAAUAUAAAAUAGAAUUACAUGAAAUGAAAGUAUCAAAAUUACAUGUAGCAAAUAAUAUAAACAUUACAUAUGCGUCAAUAAACAACUAUCAAUUAGCGUGAAAUAAUCAUCGAUAUAAU
rnacentral:lncRNA from 1 species